rnacentral:lncRNA from 1 species
AGCGACGAACCCGCGCGAAACAGACUCAAAUUCAUUCUGAGGAGAUGAGAUGGGAGAUGGAGGCGAUGCAAUAGAUCUACUCAUCGAAGCUUGUAAAUGCCCUCUACCACCUUCGUGCGCCUUGCUUCCACCAUAGCAUUCGGGUAACUUUGCUAAAGGCCGGACUCGAUAGAGCAAGGCAAUUCUCACCGGUCGACUUAAGCAGUAACUCGAUUAGGUCUACAGGAAUUAUCUGUUCCUUGAGACUGGAGCGGAGCCAGAGGAUUUCUCCAGUGCAGGCAUAAUUUUCGGCAUCGACUACAGUGAUUUUUUUG